UUCCUGGAGAACUAGUGGUUAGGCCUUGGCGCUCUCGCCAGCAUGGCCCGGGUUCAAUUCCCGGCCAGGGAA